UCAUGACUGUCGUCACAAGGAAGAUGCUGGGGUCAUUUGCUCAGGUCCUGCUAUCACCACAUCACCACCUGAAAAAUCUCUGAGACUGGUGAAUGGAGAAGAC